UGCCCCAUCUGUGCCCUGGGUAGGA
rnacentral:miRNA from 1 species